rnacentral:rRNA from 1 species
AUUGAACGCUGGCGGCAGGCCUAACACAUGCAAGUCGAACGGUAGCACAGAGAGCUUGCUCUCGGGUGACGAGUGGCGGACGGGUGAGUAAUGUCUGGGAAACUGCCCGAUGGAGGGGGAUAACUACUGGAAACGGUAGCUAAUACCGCAUAACGUCGCAAGACCAAAGUGGGGGACCUUCGGGCCUCACACCAUCGGAUGUGCCCAGAUGGGAUUAGCUAGUAGGUGGGGUAAUGGCUCACCUAGGCGACGAUCCCUAGCUGGUCUGAGAGGAUGAACAGCCACACUGGAACUGAGACACGGGCCAGACUCCUACGGGGGGCAGCAGUGGGGAAUAUUGCACAAUGGGCGCAAGCCUGAUGCAGCCAUGCCGCGUGUAUGAAGGAGGCCUUCGGGUUGUAAAGUACUUUCAGCGGGGAGGAAGGCGGUGAAGUUAAUAGCUUCACCGAUUGACGUUACCCGCAGAAGAAGCACCGGCUAACUCCGUGCCAGCAGCCGCCGCGG